rnacentral:rRNA from 1 species
UACGGGGGGGGCAAGCGUUGUUCGGAAUUACUGGGCGUAAAGGGCUCGUAGGCGGCCAACUAAGUCGGAUGUGAAAUCCCCAGGCUUAACCUGGGAACUGCAUCCGAUACUGGAUGGCUUGAAUCCGGGAGAGGGAUGCAGAAUUCCAGGUGUAGCGGUGAAAUGCGCAGAUAUCGGGAAGAACACCCGUGGCUAAGGCGGCUCUCUAGUACGGUACUGACGCUGAGACGCGAAAGCGUGGGGAGCGAACAGG